ACCUGUCUGGCAGUGGUCAGUGGAGGUGGAUGAUUUGGGCAAACUGGGAGAACUGGUGGGGGGGAAGAGGUCUCAAAUCAUCUCCAUCAGUGCUGCUCCAAGCGUCUGCCAUGGGUCUGCAUAUGUGGGGCUAACUCGGGGACUUGGGUACAGUUCAUGCUGUCCCCCCAGCAGAGAGAGCCGAAAGAGGAUGUGACAGGCAAACAGAGAUACAAAGGAUGGGAAACUACUAACCUGAACAAAGCCAAUAAUCUGUUUCCUGAGGAUGCUGGUGCCGUCAUGAAUGAGGAGUGGGGAGAGAUCUUUUAAACCAUUCAACGACAUUGCUGUGUCUUCACUUAAGAGGAGAAAAAAGUGAGCUUCCCAGUACAGAGAGAUCCUUGCAACCCCUCUAGCACAUGGGAAGAUGGUAAAGCAAAACAAAGAACAGCUGGAAGUGUGAUGGAUCGAAUACGUGGUAAUUCCAUAAUAUUGAUAAAUAGCUUGCUUUUAUGUGGAAUACUGUACUCAGUCCUGGAGAAAUGGCCAGAGGAGGUGCAAGAAAAGUAAAAGUUAUUCAGGAACUGCUAACCAGACAGAAAUAAACAAAUAAAUAAACUUGGAAAGGGGGUGGGAAAUACUGGAUCUCUUUAUCAAAAAGGGUAGAUAAAUAACAAGGGACAUGGUGGAAAAGAGGAAAAAAAUUGAUGGGUUACAGAAGGUAUACUGGAUGCUCCUAACUACUUUCUUUCAUGGAGAUGACUCAUUAAAUUCAAAGACUGCAUGCAAAAAACUAGGAAAUUGUUUUUAUGCAGUACAUAUUUCCAGGUCUGUGGAACUCCUUGCUGUUGGAAAUUAAUGUGUCCAAAAAGAAGAAUGGGGCCAGAAUAAAAAAUAAUGCAUUAACAUGGAUAACGGAAAUACUCUCAAUUUUAUAUGAUGGACUAUAAAUCCCUAUGCUUCAAGGCAGAAGCCAGUUUCUAUCAGAAGAGUGGUGGAGAAAGUUUCGCCAAGGGACACGUGCUUGUAUAAAUGCACAUUGCAGAGUUUUUUCCACUGUCCUCUGGAAGUCUCAGUAAGGAUGUCACCACAGGACCAAUUCUGGGUCCUGCUCAUCCCCAUGGUUCAAGCCAGAAGUCUAAGUGUGAGAGUCUCCACAGCUCACUCUCUAACCCCACACAAUCUGUUUGCUUCACGGUGACAGACUGGGAGAGCUGUGCCUCCUUCCUCGGGAUUUCCUCCUUUCCUGCUGGACCGAGGACUCCGCACACACUGGCUGUGCAAGCAGAAGUGGGUGUCUCCUGGUUGCGAUGACAAAUAGCCAGAGGUGCGAUCACUUUAGCACCUCCAAGCUCACCCCUCUGCUAUUAAAAAGGUAAUUACGCGCCACCCAGGGCAUGACUGGUGGGCAGCACAAAGCUGGAUUUGGCCUGGAUAAUGUAAAUUUUGUUCCACAGGCUUUGAGCUUGUGUAGCCCUCAUGGAGGCUACCUUAGGGGAGCACGGUGCCCUUUCAGUUAUGCUGAGGCUGUCAAGAAAGCACUCGAGCGAUUUAGUCAAGUUUAUUGGAAAAUCAGUGGAGGAAAUCAGCUUGCGGGUCGUCUUGAAAGGUGGAUGAGCCUCAUUCCUCUUCUCCCUUUUCUGCUUUGGAAACUGGCAGAUCUAGGGGCCGGGGCAAUGGUCCAUUUCCCCGCCAUGCUGCUGACUCACAAGCAAGCCUGUCCUCGUCUCCUCCUCCUGGGUUCCCCAUCUGUGAGCAGAGAUAUUUACUCAGCGGCUGAAGCCCACUCAGCAGUCGGAUGGAGAUCAGAAGAGACGAAUUGCUACCAAGACCAUGAUCAGCAGUUUUUACGGUGCCUUCAAAACCUCCAGGGCUCAUUCUGGGAGUGGGCAGAGCUGCCCAAUGCCCUGCGAAGCUGCAGCUGGGUGCCGUAGGGGAUGCACAGCCAUGGCCCAGAGGCUGCAUCCAGGGCCGGGGUCCAAAAUCUCAGCCCCGAGCAGUGCGCAGCUGUUAUUAUUCCAUCACCUGAGCGGCUCCAGCUCUGCAGCUCAUUAGCAGGUUGGAUAUAUUAGUAUCUGUCAAACAAUUGGAGAGCUACCUUGUUGGGUGAAUGGAUGAAAACACAUUAACUCCCACAAAAGGGGGAGAGGCGGUGAUUAGCUGGUGAGAUGACAAUAUGAAAUGUCAGUGGCACAGACAGUAAGCACAACUGUUCAUUAUUAUAUUAACAGCUUUAAUUUUCUGCCUUUAAACAGCAGUUUCCUGUCAGUUCAAUUA